rnacentral:rRNA from 1 species
AGUGAACGCUGGUGGCGUGCUUAACACAUGCAAGUCGAGCGAGAACGGGCUAUAGCUUGCUAUAGUUGUCAGCUAAGUUGCGCACGGGUGAGUAACGUAUAGGUAAUAUGCCUCUUACUAAGGGAUAGCCACUGGAAACGGUUAUUAAUAACAGAUACUUCUUCUAGUCAUAAGGCUAGUCGGGAAAGUUUUUUCGCUAAGGGAUCAGUCUAUGUCCUAUCAGCUAGUUUGUGAGGUAACGGCUCACCAAGGCUAUGACGGGUAUCUGGUUUGAGAGGAUGAUCAGACACACUGGAACUGAACCACGGUCCAGACUCCUACGGGAGGCAGCCGUGAGGAAUAUUGCACAAUGCAGGAAACUCUGAUGCAGCAACGCCGCGUGGAGGAUGACACAUUUCGGUGCGUAAACUCCUUUUAUAUGAGAAGAUAAUUACGGUAUUAUAUGAAUAAGCACCGGCUAACUCCGUGCCAGCAGCCGCGGUAA